rnacentral:lncRNA from 1 species
CACGCUAAAACCCUGAAUCACUUUUCCAGAAUCAUUUUCUGCCCGCUUCAACUUUUCCAGAAAUUCUGCCUAUUGACGAACUUACCCUUCAUUUACUAGUUAAUACUUAAUACUACUAAUCACUUGUUAUUUUCUUUGGCUCACAUGAUUCGCACCGAUGACCUUAAGUCAAAUCCAAAAAUGUUGUCAAAGAUAAUUUAUCUCGGCAAUGAGCACAAAUCAACAAUGGUAUGAUCUUUAUGUUAAAGUUUAUCCAUUGUUCAUUUCAUUUUAGUUUUACGUUCUAAAUUAUAAAAUCCCCGAAUAGCUAGUCUUAUACUUGGUGACUAGGUGUUUUAUCCGCAUAAGCGGGUAUAAACUUCUUAUUAAUUUAUGUCUUACUAAUCUAAAACUAACAUAAUAAAUUAUUAUCUAUUUUUCAAAUAUUUAAAUUAAACAUCAAAGUAUUUAUAUAUGUCGAAUAUUUU